rnacentral:rRNA from 1 species
UUGGUCAAUGGACGAAAGCCUGACACCAGCCAAGCCGCGUGCAGGAUGACGGCCCUAUGGGUGGAAAACUGUUUUUAUAGGGGAAAAAAGGGAGGCACCGUGUGGCAAUAUU